rnacentral:rRNA from 1 species
CGCCCUUAUUAGAUACCCUGGGUAGUCCACACUGUAAACGAUGAUAACUAGGUGUGGGGGGUCUGACCCCUUCCGUGCCGCAGCUAACGCAAUAAGUUAUCCACCUGGGGAGUACGACCGCAAGGUUGAAACUCAAAGGAAUUGACGGGGACCCGCACAAGCAGUGGAUUAUGUGGUUUAAUUCGAAGCAACGCGAAGAACCUUACCAGCACUUGACAUCCUACUAACGAAAUGGAGACAUAUUAGGUGCCCUUCGGGGAAAGUAGAGACAGGUGGUGCAUGGUUGUCGUCAGCUCGUGUCGUGAGAUGUUGGGUUAAGUCCCGCAACGAGCGCAACCCUUAUGUUUAGUUGCUACGCAAGAGCACUCUAGACAGACUGCCGUUGACAAAACGGAGGAAGGUGGGGAUGACGUCAAAUCAUCAUGCCCCUUAUGACCUGGGCUACACACGUGCUACAAUGGGCAGUACAACGAGAAGCGAGCCUGCGAAGGCAAGCGGAUCUCUUAAAGCUGUUCUCAGUUCGGACUGCAGUCUGCAACUCGACUGCACGAAGCUGGAAUCGCUAGUAAUCGCGGAUCAGCACGCCGCGGUGAAUACGUUCCCGGGCCUUGUACACACCGCCCGUCACACCAUGGAAGUCUGCAAUGCCCGAAGCCGGUGGCCUAACCACUUAUGUGGAAGGAGCCGUCUAAGGCAGGGCAGAUGACUGGGGUGAAGUCGUAACAAGGUAGC